UGCUGCCAGCACAUGACUCACUGUUAGUGCAGCUCUGCCCAAGGAGGGGACUCCCACUGCUCCCCUCCUGGCUCCUGAGCAAUUCUGGAGCCCAAACAGAGCUCCCUGACCACGUUUUCUGGAUUUCUCUUCUCCCAGAACGUUCCAGCCUGCUGCUGAUUCAGACAGGCCAUAUCCUGUGCCCCUGCUGACCACUGAACGGCCUCACAGCUGGUCCAAAGGCAUUUUCCUAUGGUGGGUUAUGACAUUUCACAUGGAUUUCUCUUCCUGUGUUGCACACGUGCUCUGGAAGGAAGACUCAGCCAUGCAGACACAGCGCAGCAGCCUGCAGUCAAUGUGCUCACCCAUGCCCAGCAGCCAGGGAAAAUCCAAGGUGAGCCACUGCAGAUCAUCUGUUCUGCUGCAACCGCAGCAUUGAACAACGGUUACCAGCGGUUUACAAAAUCCCACAUUUAGUUAGAAUCUUUCACUUAGAAAGAUGCCAGGAGGU
rnacentral:lncRNA from 1 species